UUGGAGGGCAAGUCUGGUGCCAGCAGCCGCGGUAAUUCCAGCUCCAAUAGCGUAUAUUAAAGUUGUUGCAGUUAAAAAGCUCGUAGUUGAAUUUCGGGAUCAAAUUGUCGGUCGUGCCUCGGUACGCACUGGUAUUAUUGGUUCCUACCUUCUGAAGAACCGCGAUGUCAUUAAUUUGGUGUCGUGGGGAAUCAGGACUGUUACUUUGAAAAAAUUAGUGUGUUUAAAGCAGGCUUACGCUUGAAUACAUUAGCAUGGAAUAAUGAAAUAGGACGUUUGAUUCUAUUUUGUUGGUUUCUAGGAUUGACGUAAUGAUUAAUAGGGAUAGUUGGGGGCAUUAGUAUUCAAUUGUCAGAGGUGAAAUUCUUGGAUUUAUUGAAGACUAACUACUGCGAAAGCAUUUGCCAAGGAUGUUUUCAUUAAUCAAGAGCGAAAGUUAGGGGAUCGAAGACGAUCAGAUACCGUCGUAGUCUUAACCAUAAACUAUGCCGACUAGGGAUCGGAUGAUGUUAAUUUUUUAAUGACUCAUUCGGCGCCUUACGGGAAAC
rnacentral:rRNA from 1 species